rnacentral:lncRNA from 1 species
AUGUUGGUGGUGGUGAUUGACGGUGAUUUGAGUGGUGGUUAUUGAAGUGGAAGUGAUUGAAGUGGGAGGUUGCUGACUAACAGUUGUUGAAACGACUGGUGUUUCAACCACUGUUGCCAUUACAACAGAUGUUAUAACAUCUGUUGUCUUCUUCUUUUUAGCAAGAGAUGAGGGUGGUGUUGAUGAUGUUUUUGGUGGUGAGGUAAUUUUUUGUGGUGGUGGUAAGGCAGUGGUUGUGGUGUGUGUUGAAGUGGUGUGUGUUGAAGUGGCGGCAGGUGUUUGGCUAGCAGUUGUUGAAACCACUGAAGUAUCAGCAGUUGUUGAUACAACAGGUGUUGCAACAGUUGUUUGGGUGGAAGAUUGAAGUGUGAGAUUUUUGAUAGGUUUAGGAGUUUGCUUUGUGGGUCUGGAUGAUUUGUGCUUGGGUUCCCUCACUUUUCUAGUGGGAUUCUUUCUUUUUGGCUUAGGAUUUUGGUCAUCCUUAGGCUCAGAAGUACCCUGCUCAUUUAGCUUCAUAAAUGCUCUUUUCUCAUGUUCCCACCUGGCAUUAUCCUUAGCCCUUCUAUCCCUUUUUACCUUUGCUAAUGCAUCAGCAAUGGCAUUAGUGGUAACAUCAAUCUUUUUUGACCCAUCUGGCAAAGGGAUGUCUUUGAGCAAACUAUCUUGUUGUGGUUCAAUAUAAAGACCAUCUUCAACUCCAUUCUUCUUCCACUGCUUGAUUUUCUCCCCCUUUUGGCAUUAUCUAGGGGGGGUUAUCAAUA